rnacentral:ncRNA from 1 species
AAAAUUGAGAGUUUGAUUCUGGCUCAGAACGAACGCUGGCGGCGCGCCUAACACAUGCAAGUCGAACGGGGUACUUGGAGCUGAUCGCUUCGGCGUGAAGCACCUUGUUACCUAGUGGCGAACGGGUGAGUAACACGUAGGUAACCUGCCCUCAGGAUUGGGAUACUCCCGAGAAAUCGGGCUCAAUACCGGAUAUGAUUCCAGGGUGAAAUGCCCAGGGAUAAAAGCCAUGAGCA